GGCUCCGAGCGGUCAGAGUGGUCUUUGACGCCGGACUUCAAAUCCGGUCUAUCCUCAAACGAUUGGGGGUUCGAUUCCCCCUCAGAGCCGCCA
rnacentral:tRNA from 2 species